rnacentral:lncRNA from 1 species
AAGAGUUUACUAUUUGUUUUCCAGACUCUGUUAAUUAACCAUGCUGCCAUUCUUUGAAUAUAUUUCUGUAAUUAAACCACUACUAAGCAUUUUUUUCUUUCUUUUUUUUUUCUACCCAUUUUCUCGGGAGUACAUUUUUCUCAGCUGUUUUGCAUGCAUUUAGUCAGGUGCUGGGAGGAUUGUGAUCAAUUCUUUAGCUUCCUGAAAAGUGAGAACCCUACCAUGGGUCCAAUCAAGCUAAGAUUCCUCCCAAGCAGUGACAUGGGCGAAAUUAGGACCCAACGAACGGGCAUCAUACCAUGCCAGUGGAAGCCGGGGGCAGCUUAGCUUCUUUACGGCCUCUCUGAUAUAAGAUCUUGGUUUUUCAAUGAUUUGGGAAUUGGGAACAGGAACAUGGUACAUGUAGUGCCUGUAAGCCAUUAAUAGGCUCUAAAGUUUAAGAUCAUUUUCAGCACUAUCAUACCGUCAUAAUCAUGAAAUAUAUUGAUCGAGAAGAGAAAAGCCCUGAGCAGGAGUUCAUGCUGAUGAAACAGAGACGGACAAAACCGAGAGACAUUAAAAAGUCCAAUUAUCAACUAGCAUUUUCAGAUUUCCCUUCUUGCUGAUUCAAUUUAAAUAAUAACAAAACCAAAUGGAACAUACUUAAAACACAGAUAGAAGUGGACAGCUUACAGCCAGUACAACCGGAACAGGAAAACCAAACGGGCAAAGUGAUUACAUAACGAGAGAAUAAUAAUCUGUUACACUUAGAAGAGUGCUGAAAUAAGCCACUUCGUAAAUGCGCCUUUUCGGCCUUCUAGCAAACAUUCAAGACGGUUAAAGUUGGAAAGGUCAGCGAUUUACCGGCACACAAGAGUGACUUAAAACCUGUAACUACUGGCACUACUGUACCCACCAUAAGCAGAAGAACCAUAUCCGCCAAGCGAAUGGGAUGCAAGAGAAGACGAUGGAUAAGCUGCACUAGAAAUCUGAGAAUAACUCGAUCUGUAGCUAGUGUCGAGGCCCCCAUAAGAGCUUCUUAAUGGAUCUCUGUGUCCCGCCAUGAAUUCCUGUAUAUAUUGUGAUGAAAGGAAAAGAAAGUAUUAGUAAAAAGACUAGCUCUAGUUAUCAUAGCGCUGUUCCAAGUAGCAACCCAAUAAUCUCGAUGACAA